CGAUUCAAAUGAAAAUCUAUCGCUCUCUCUCGCCAACUACAUUUCCGAUUUGUCGGCGAAAGUUACUGCCGAGAAAAGCACCUUCACUGUUGUUUUCUCCGGCGGCUCGUUAUUCAAGUCCCUCAGGUUUUUACUUGUUAAUUAUUGUGUUAUUUAUUUAAUUUAUAUCUGCCCUAAUUUUUUUUUAUAUUAAAUUUGUAUUAAGUUAGUUGAAUUUGUUUAUGUUUCAGUAAAUUAGUUGAGGCACCGUAUGUAGAUUCGAUAGAUUGGUCGAAGUGGAAUGUGUUCUGGUUGGACGAGAGAGUUGUUCCUAAGGAUCAUCCUGAUAGUAAUUACUUGCUGGC
rnacentral:lncRNA from 1 species